rnacentral:rRNA from 1 species
UGGGGAAUAUUGCGCAAUGGGGGGAACCCUGACGCAGCCAUGCCGCGUGAAUGAAGAAGGCCUUCGGGUUGUAAAGUUCUUUCGGUAUUGAGGAAGGUUGAUGUGUUAAUAGCACAUCAAAUUGACGUUAAAUACAGAAGAAGCACCGGCUAACUCCGUGCCAGCAGCCGCGGUAAUACGGAGGGUGCGAGCGUUAAUCGGAAUAACUGGGCGUAAAGGGCACGCAGGCGGUUAUUUAAGUGAGGUGUGAAAGCCCUGGGCUUAACCUGGGAAUUGCAUUUCAGACUGGGUAACUAGAGUACUUUAGGGAGGGGUAGAAUUCCACGUGUAGCGGUGAAAUGCGUAGAGAUGUGGAGGAAUACCGAAGGCGAAGGCAGCCCCUUGGGAAUGUACUGACGCUCAUGUGCGAAAGCGUGGGGAGCAAACAGGAUUAGAUACCCUGGUAGUCCACGCUGUAAACGCUGUCGAUUUGGGGAUUGGGCUUAGAGCUUGGUGCCCGUAGCUAACGUGAUAAAUCGACCGCCUGGGGAGUACGGCCGCAAGGUUA